rnacentral:rRNA from 1 species
GCACCCGCGGUAAUUCCAGCUCCAAUAGCGUAUAUUAAAGUUGUUGCAGUUAAAAAGCUCGUAGUUGGAUUUCUGCGAGGGUGCCAAUGUCCGCCGACGCGCGUGCGCAGCGGCGCCCUCGCAUCCUUCUGUUACCACCUCUCGGCAUUCACUUGCCGGUGGUCGGCUCAGAGAAUUUACCUUGAGGAAAUUAGAGUGUUUCAGGCAGGCUAGGCCGGAAUACAUUAGCAUGGAAUAAUGGAAUAGGACUACGGUCUCGUUGUUGGUUUGAGGGACUGCAGUAAUGAUUAAUAGGGAUAGUUGGGGGCAUUAGUAUUUAAUUGUCAGAGGUGAAAUUCUCAGAUUUGUUAAAGACUAACUUAUGCGAAAGCAUUUGCCAAGGAUGUUUUCAUUGAUCAAGAACGAAAGU